CCGUAGUCAUAUGCUUGUCUCAAAGAUUAAGCCAUGCAUGUCUAAGUACAUGCCGCAUUAAGGCGAAACCGCGAAUGGCUCAUUAAAUCAGUUAUGGUUCCUUGGAUCGUACUUUACUACUUGGAUAACUGUGGCAAUUCUAGAGCUAAUACAUGCAGCAGAGCUCCGACCUUCGGGAACGAGCGCUUUUAUUAGACCAAAACCAAACGGGCCUCGUGUCCGUUCUCUGUGGUGACUCUGUAUAACUUUGGGCUGAUCGCACGGGCUCGUCCCGGCGACGUAUCUUUCAAGUGUCUGCCUUAUCAACUGUCGAUGGUAGGUUACGCGCCUACCAUGGUCGUAACGGGUAACGGGGGAUCAGGGUUCGAUUCCGGAGAGGGAGCCUGAGAAACGGCUACCACAUCCAAGGAAGGCAGCAGGCGCGCAAAUUACCCACUCCCGGAACGGGGAGGUAGUGACGAAAAAUAACAAUACGGGACUCUUUUGAGACCCCGUAAUUGGAAUGAGUACACUCUAAAUCCUUUAACGAGGAUCUAUUGGAGGAAAAGUCUGGUGCCAGCACCUGCGGUAACUCCAGCUCCAAUAGCGUAUAUUAAAGUUGUUGCGGUUAAAAAGCUCGUAGUUGGAUCUCAGUUCGGGAGGGAAGGUCCACCUAUCGGUGGUCACUUUCCCGUCCCAACACCGGCCGGUUUCUGUAGAUGAUCUUCACCGGUUGUCUGCGGUGACCGGCAAGUUUACUUUGAAAAAAUUAGAGUGCUCAAAGCAGGCGUGACGCCUGGAUAAUGGUGCAUGGAAUAAUGGAAUAGGACCUCGGUUCUAUUUUGUUGGUUUUCGGAACACGAGGUAAUGAUUAAGAGGGACAGACGGGGGCAUUCGUAUUGCGACGCUAGAGG
rnacentral:rRNA from 1 species